UGAUGCGGCAGCUAUACAUGCAGUCGUAGGUAGCCGUAAGGUAGCUUGCUAUCAAUGGUGAGAGUGGCGCACGGGUGCGUAACGCGUGAGCAACCUACCUCUAUCAGGGGGAUAGCCUCUCGAAAGAGAGAUUAACACCGCAUAAUAUAAUCCUCCGGCAUCGGGAGAUUAUUAAAUAUUUAUAGGAUAGAGAUGGGCUCGCGUGACAUUAGCUAGUUGGUAGGGUAACGGCUUACCAAGGCGACGAUGUCUAGGGGCUCUGAGAGGAGAAUCCCCCACACUGGUACUGAGACACGGACCAGACUCCUACGGGAGGCAGCAGUAAGGAAUAUUGGUCAAUGGGCGGAAGCCUGAACCAGCCAUGCCGCGUGCAGGACGACUGCCCUAUGGGUUGUAAACUGCUUUUGUCCAGGAAUAAACCUAAAUACGUGUAUUUAGCUGAAUGUACUGGAAGAAUAAGGAUCGGCUAACUCCGUGCCAGCAGCCGCGGUAAUACGGAGGAUCCGAGCGUUAUCCGGAUUUAUUGGGUUUAAAGGGUGCGUAGGCGGCCUAUUAAGUCAGGGGUGAAAUACGGUGGCUCAACCAUCGCAGUGCCUUUGAUACUGAUGGGCUUGAAUCCAUUUGAAGUGGGCGGAAUAAGACAAGUAGCGGUGAAAUGCAUAGAUAUGUCUUAGAACUCCGAUUGCGAAGGCAGCUCACUAAGCUGGUAUUGACGCUGAUGCACGAAAGCGUGGGGAUCGAACAGGAUUAGAUACCCUGGUAGUCCACGCCCUAAACGAUGAUAACUCGAUGUUGGCGAUAGACAGCCAGCGUCUUAGCGAAAGCGUUAAGUUAUCCACCUGGGGAGUACGCCCGCAAGGGUGAACUCAAAGGAAUUGACGGGGGCCCGCACAAGCGGAGGAGCAUGUGGUUUAAUUCGAUGAUACGCGAGGAACCUUACCCGGGCUUGAAGUUAGUGAAGGAUGCAGAGACGCAUCCGUCCUUCGGGACACCGAAACUAGUGCUGCAUGGCUGUUCGUCAGCUCGUGCGUGAGUGUUGGGUUAGUUCCCGCACGAGCGCACCCUUAUGUUUAGUUGCAGCAUUUUAAGUGGGAACUCUAACGACUGGCCCUGGUGCCAUAGUGAAGAUGUGGGUACGACGUUCAAGUCAUCAUGGCCAUACGUCGGGCCACCACCGUGCCUACAUUGGAUGUGUUACCACGGCGGCCAUGCUAUUA
rnacentral:rRNA from 1 species